UACGUAGGGAGCAAGCGUUGUCCGGAUUUAUUGGGCGUAAAGAGCUCGUAGGCGGUUCCGUAAGUCGAGUGUGAAAAAUCUGGGCUCAACCCAGUGGAGCACUCGAUACUGCGGUGACUAGAGUACGGUAGAGGAGUGUGGAGUUCCUAGUGUAGCGGUGAAAUGCGCAGAUAUUAGGAGGAACACCAACGGCGAAGGCAGCACUCUGGGCCGGUACUGACGCUGAGGAGCGAAAGCGUGGGGAGCAAACAGG
rnacentral:rRNA from 1 species